UAGGGAAUCUUCGGCAAUGGGGGGAACCCUGACCGAGCAACGCCGCGUGAGUGAAGAAGGUUUUCGGAUCGUAAAGCUCUGUUGUUAAGGAAGAACGAGUGUGAGAAUGGAAAGUUCAUACUGUGACGGUACUUAACCAGAAAGGGACGGCUAACUACGUGCCAGCAGCCGCGGUAAUACGUAGGUCCCGAGCGUUGUCCGGAUUUAUUGGGCGUAAAGCGAGCGCAGGCGGUUAGAUAAGUCUGAAGUUAAAGGCAGUGGCUCAACCAUUGUAGGCUUUGGAAACUGUUUAACUUGAGUGCAGAAGGGGAGGGUGGAAUUCCAUGUGUAGCGGUGAAAUGCGUAGAUAUAUGGAGGAACACCGGUGGAGAAGGCGGCUCUCUGGUCUGUAACUGACGCUGAGGCUCGAAAGCGUGGGGAGCGAACAGG
rnacentral:rRNA from 1 species